CUUAAACUGUGUACUUUGUCUUUAAGAGAUAUUGCAAACUGACAAGGUGUUAGAAAUGGAACAUAUUGUUUUUCAUAACUGUUUCUUUAAGCAAUAAGCUCAGUGCAUAAUAUGUUUGCGCCAUUUUGUCCCAGACGAGUUACAAUAACAAUAAUGCAUAAACAAGCUUCAAGGCUAUACUACGACUCUUGCAGUACACAAUAUACUGUCGUAACCCCAAGUUAAUGGAACUUCCCAAAUCCGGGAAUCUCCCACGACUGUGCACUUACGACUUAGUAUAAACAGAUAAGCUAUUCAGACUUUAAGAUGCCAUCUUGAACUUUUCCAUGACGUAUACACCCUCUAGUUAUGGCCUUGUAUGUUUGCCAAGUUAAGGGAGGUCCUAAAAUGAAUAAAGUAAAAGAAGUGUUACUUUUUCAUAUAUGAACUACGGUAAUCCUAAAAUGGACACACCUAAGGUAUAAAUAGGUGUACUUUUAAAUGUUAAGACAUAGAGGAGAGACUUGGAGACAGACGCUGCUCCAUCUUAAAAUGACAGAGAGGCUGACAUGAUGACAUGUUCAGAAGGGUAUGUUAACCUAUUAAUGAUAUUUGCAAGCAUUUAGUUUAACCUUAUAAACUCUGCUAUAAUGGAUUUUAUAUUUAUAUAAUAAAUAUCCAAAAAGAC
rnacentral:lncRNA from 1 species